rnacentral:rRNA from 1 species
GCGCAACCCUUGCCUUUAGUUGCCAGCAGUUCGCGUGGCACUCUAAAGGGACUGCCGGUGUUAAACCGGAGGAAGGUGGGGAUGACGUCAAGUCCUCAUGGCCUUUAUGACCAGGGCUACACACGUACUACAAUGGCCGAUACAAAGGGCAGCGACACUGCGAGGUGAAGCCAAUCCCGUAAAAUCGGUCUCAGUCCGGAUUGGAGUCUGCAACUCGACUCCAUGAAGUUGGAAUCGCUAGUAAUCGUGGAUCAGCAUGCCACGGUGAAUACGUUCCCGGGCCUU